rnacentral:lncRNA from 1 species
AAAAGAGAUGCUUUAUAUAGCCUAAAUUAAGACCCAUGAUCUUUGCCACUUCGCACUACUAUACAUGGACCCAUGAUCUUUGCCACUACCCACAACUAUGCAUGGACCCAUGAUCUAUGCCACUAUCCACUACUAGGUAACUACCCACUACUGUUUAACUACCCACUACCAAAUAACUACCCACUACUGGUUAACUACCAACUACUAAAUGACUACCCACUAUAAAUACAGAAUUUGAAUUGUCAAUAAGGACACAUUUGGCCUAAUUGACUUGGAAUGGCC